CGUGCCAGCAGCCGCGGUAAUACGGAAGGUCCGGGCGUUAUCCGGAUUUAUUGGGUUUAAAGGGAGCGUAGGCCGGAGAUUAAGCGUGUUGUGAAAUGUAGACGCUCAACGUCUGCACUGCAGCGCGAACUGGUUUCCUUGAGUACGCACAAAGUGGGCGGAAUUCGUGGUGUAGCGGUGAAAUGCUUAGAUAUCACGAAGAACUCCGAUUGCGAAGGCAGCUCACUGGAGCGCAACUGACGCUGAAGCUCGAAAGUGCGGGUAUCGAACAGGAUUAGAUACCCUGGUAGUCCGCACGGUAAACGAUGGAUGCCCGCUGUUGGUCUGAAUAGGUCAGCGGCCAAGCGAAAGCAUUAAGCAUCCCACCUGGGGAGUACGCCGGCAACGGUGAAACUCAAAGGAAUUGACGGGGGCCCGCACAAGCGGAG
rnacentral:rRNA from 1 species